rnacentral:rRNA from 1 species
AACGAACGCUGGCGGCAUGCCUAGCACAUGCAAGUCGAACGAGACCUUCGGGUCUAGUGGCGCACGGGUGCGUAACGCGUGGGAACCUGCCCUUAGGUUCGGAAUAACUCCCCGAAAGGGGUGCUAAUACCGGAUAAUGUCUUCGGACCAAAGAUUUAUCGCCUUUGGAUGGGCCCGCGUUGGAUUAGCUAGUUGGUAGGGUAAAAGCCUACCAAGGCGACGAUCCAUAGCUGGUCUGAGAGGAUGAUCAGCCACACUGGGACUGAGACACGGCCCAGACUCCUACGGGAGGCAGCAGUGGGGAAUAUUGGACAAUGGGCGAAAGCCUGAUCCAGCAAUGCCGCGUGAGUGAUGAAGGCCUUAGGGUUGUAAAGCUCUUUUACCCGGGAUGGUAAUGACAGUACCGGGAGAAUAAGCUCCGGCUAACUCCGUG